AUUGAACGCUGGCGGCAGGCCUAACACAUGCAAGUCGAGCGGAUGAAGGGGGCUUGCUCCUGGAUUCAGCGGCGGACGGGUGAGUAAUGCCUAGGAAUCUGCCUGGUAGUGGGGGAUAACGUCCGGAAACGGGCGCUAAUACCGCAUACGUCCUGAGGGAGAAAGUGGGGGAUCUUCGGACCUCACGCUAUCAGAUGAGCCUAGGUCGGAUUAGCUAGUUGGUGGGGUAAAGGCCUACCAAGGCGACGAUCCGUAACUGGUCUGAGAGGAUGAUCAGUCACACUGGAACUGAGACACGGUCCAGACUCCUAUGGGAGGCAGCAGUGGGGAAUAUUGGACAAUGGGCGAAAGCCUGAUCCAGCCAUGCCGCGUGUGUGAAGAAGGUCUUCGGAUUGUAAAGCACUUUAAGUUGGGAGGAAGGGCAGUAAGUUAAUACCUUGCUGUUUUGACGUUACCAACAGAAUAAGCACCGGCUAACUUCGUG
rnacentral:rRNA from 1 species